AACCCCCCUCCCAGUUACUGCCACCCUCUCCCAGGUCUAGAGAGGGGUACCCACGGUGGAGGGAGGUGGGAGGCCGAGACGGCCCCGGGGGUCGGCGGAGACCCAGCGGGAGCAGGGGGAAAUCGGAAGAGCUGGGGGCAUGGAGCGGGCGAGUUUGGAGCGGAAUGAGCCGGGAGCCCUACGUUGUGGAAGGAAGACAACAGUAUAGGACCAUCAGCAGGACCGGACAGAGAGGGGGUUUCUCUGUAUAGCCCUGGCUGUCCUGGAACUUGUAGACCAGGCUGGCCUUGAACUCAGAAAUCCGCCUGCCUCUGACUCCCGAGUGCUGAGAUUAAAGGUGUGCACCACCACACCCGACAAGGAAGCCUGUUUUAAGAAGUGAUUCCAUGGAGGAGUUCUGCGGCGGCUCAGGGCUUGACUAAACAGUGGACCUCAGACCCGAGGGUGAAGGAUGAGGAGGAUGGAAGAAAAUGGGAGUGGCGCUUGCUGCAAAGGGUCUCGAAGGGUCUCAGCACCUGCGAACUGGCUCCAAUCCAAACUCCACUAUUCAUGGUCAAGUUCACAUAGGGCUUGGGGUUCUAACAAGAUGUGACUAAACUUACGUUUUCUAUCUUAUUGAUUGUUGUUGAUGCACGUCUGGUGGUACAUGCUUGAAGAACACAGACACCCUGAGAAGAAAGACAUAGCUCCCCAGAUUCCAGCACGCACUUCUCUGUGAGCUACCACUGUAGCUGAAGAUACAGGGCUCAGGAGGAACACUUGGCCUUCGCUCUGAACUUCAGGCCCACGUAACCAUCAGCCGACAUGACACUGCAAAGGCACCUUAGCUCUGCUGUCCCAGAUGGCCAAGCCAACCUUAUUCCAGAAGCUACUUCUCCUGAUGUAAGAACCAGACACAAAGGACAACCUCUGCCUCACCCUCCUUCACACAACACUGAGUCUGUCAUCUUUGAAGCAUUUCUCAAGCCAUGUUUAUUCCCCUGGCCUACGUGGAACACAGCCAGGGUACGGAACACAACCUCAGCACCGGUCUGCUUUCCUCUCCCCAUUUCUGGUCUUUCUCAGAUGCCCAGAGCUCCUCUGUCCCAAUGACUGCUUAUCAAAGAUCUCACUGUGUCCCCACCCAAGGGGUCUUUGGCCACCCUGUGAAGUCCUAGUGGCCUGGAGUUUGCCCCCUUUCCCAGACACCUUAGGGUUCCUGCUGCAGCUCCAGAACUGGGGGAGCAGGGUUGGGGGUGAGUGUGUGUGUGUGUGUGUGUGUGUGUGUGUGUGUGUGUGUUGACUCACCCUGCAGUAUUCUCUCCAUCUGCACAGGUCCCCAGUCUCUGAGACUGAAUCACCCCUCUUUCACUAUGCCUCUGCACAGCUGCCCUUGUGCUCCCUCUCCUUGCCCCGCCUCUUUUUAAGACAGUAUUAUGCAGCCCUGGCUGUCCUGGAACUUAUGUAAACCAGCCUGGCCUUGAACUUGCAGAGAUCCACCUGCCUUUGCCUCUGCCCCUGCCCCUGCCCCUGCCCCUGCCCCUGCCCCUGCCCCUGCCUUUCUGCCUCUGCCUCUGCCUCUCUGCCUUUCUGCCUCUGCCUCUCUGCCUCUGCCUCUCUGCCUCUGCCUCUCAAGUGUCAGGGAUUAAUGCCUGCCACCUCCCCAGUCCCACCCCUCUCCAUCUACCAUGUGGGUUCCACGGGGCAAACCCAAGUCAUCAGGCUUGUUGGCCAGUGCCUUUAUCCACUGAGCCAAGCCGCUUGGUGUGUCUUUGAUGGUGAUUAUUUACAGGAGCUAUUCAGCAAGGUUAAAUGCUGGCAACCCAAUGAGGGGGUCUCUUGAUCCAAAACUGAGAAGUUGAGGCACUAUUUCAGAAUGACCAAAGACAGUAGAAGAAUCUAGAUAUGUCGAUGAUGAGAACAAUGAUAACUCCAAAAGCUGAGGGAAAUUAACUCAAAAUCUUCCAGCUUCCUUUUCCUUACCUAGUUUGGCGGACUCCAACUCUUGGGAUAGCUUUUUUUCUGGCCCCAAACUCACCUGAUUCGUCUGUCCACUGCCACACUGAAGAAUGAACAGCUGUCUCAGAGAGCUUGGCUCCAGAGCUCUGCAAAAAGAGGACACCUUGCCUUGAGCUGUGUUUCCAGAAUGUAUUGCAGCCCCCAGAGUCAUGUACUGUGACCAGGUGAGGACAUGCAUCUUCUGUUCUCCUGCACCCAGGGCCCCAGCAACCAAGGAUCUGGGGACAUGGCGGGUGUUUGGCAGGUUCGCACUCUGAAAAUAUUUGAUGAGACUCAGUAUAUGCUAAAUAAACACUGGAUCAAG
rnacentral:lncRNA from 1 species